UUCUUUCACAUUCAUAUUUGUUGCACCAGUCACAUUGUUUUCAAAAAAUCAGCCAGUUGGUAUGCAAUACAAAUGCAAAAGCUAUCCUGCUUAAAAUUUGAGAAGCAGAGUUCAUUUGGGAGAACAGUUGAGGUGAUGAUGGGAACAAGAGAGAAGGAUGAGAGGGCUGUGGGACUCUGGGCUCCAGGAGGUGCAUUUCAGGUGUUGAGUGUUGCAGGGUCAGCAGCCUCUUCCCCAUCCCCCAGCUGGGAUCAAGGCCAGCUCUGAUAUAGGGCAGCUGUGUAACUGUGGGUCAGGCUGGUGUUAAAAAAAGCUGUGAGAAAGCUUCUUGGGGCCUUUCUCUCUUUAGGAGUCCCACUUAAACUCAGUUCCUGGCUGGAGUUCCACUCUGUGUGUGCCUGUACCUGGCUGUGUGCCUGGCCGACCCUGACUGUGGCUUGGCUUCCUGGUCUGAGCUUGGCCCUGCCUCAUUGCUGCAGAUUUGUCUGGUGAGUGCAGGACUGUGGCUGACCCCAGGUAGUGCCACGGGACCUGCUCAGAAGCUGUGGGACUGUGUUGCUUGUUUGGGAGGUCCCUGCCUGCCUUGCUUUGCCCCUGGCCUCCCACUUAUCUCCCUGGGCAGAGGUCUUGCUGCUCCCAGCUUUGACAGGUCGUUAUUAAAGGACCAGACAUGUUUUAGAAAUGAUGACUCAAAAAAGCCCAGCUUGGUUAUGGAGGGCUGAUACGGUGUCGGGAUGUGGAGGUCACGGCUUGCUGCUUGGAUGGAAUUCUUUGAAGAUAUUGCUGCUCAGGAGAUGUGACGGACAAACUAUAAAGACACAACCUGAUGCUUGCCAAAGUGUGUCUGAAAAUGGUGUUGUGCUUGAUCUGUGUGUCAAGCCUCUGCCCUUUGUAAAUGCCUCUUUUAAAGCUAUAUGUGUGACCCUGCAUUUACAAAGUAGUGCCACAGCAGCCGGUGCUGCGAGCAUCAUUGAUGAGAUCUCAUAACAAUUACUUAAAUGGUGUGCCAAGAGCAAGUUUUUUCAGAUUAACAGUGACAAAUACAGCCAGGAAAUUUGGCCUGAUAGCAGACUACGAAGUUGCAACAGUAAAUAGUCAUUUGAAAACUUCACACAGUAGAAAUAAUUUUAAUUCCUUUUCAUAUUUAUAUCAACAGUAAAGGAAUUCAAGGACAAGAAUGAGAGAUUAAAAUGCUGUUUGGAAGAAUGAAUGGCCCACUGCAUGUUUGAGUAAACAGAUCAGCUUCAGGUUGUUUUCAGGAAGACUUGAAACUGGAGAAGCUGUAACCUUCCUCCUCUGUGGAGUCUGUCAGCGACUGCUGCAUGGGGCUUCACAUUCUGCAACUGCAAAGGGGAUCAGGCCCCAGGGGCAGCACCAGCCAUGUGUGCUGUCCUUGUUGGAGUCAUGCAGACUUGACUGAUGUUACCUGGGAGGUUGAGGUGAUUCUUUUGCAUAUGAAGUUCCACCCUUACUGUCACUGAAUGCUGAAGGGCAGCCCAUUGAGUCCAGGAGGAGGAGGCAACGUCCCGCCUCUGCUUCCCAGAAGACUUGUUUCUAAUUUCUCAGCUUCUCACAUCUAGAGAAACUGCACCAAGUUUCAGUGCCUGGUGCAUAGUAGGUCCUUUGCUCCUUACCAGGAAAAGGGGAAAUGUGACCCCCAGUAGCCCUUUGUGCCAGUUUUGGCACUUUGUGAAUAUAAUAUUUACUAUUAAGAUUGUGCUGUUUUAGUCAGAUGGCAGAUUUGGGGAAUACCAGCAUGCAGAACAGCUUGUGAUCUUAAGAUGUCAUUGUGUCUGUGAUGGAAUGAGCUAUGGGAAGCCUCCUGUGGGUUCAGGACCUCAAGAGCUCUAGAGGUAGCUAUGAAGACUGCUUGGCAGAUGGACCCAUCAAAAUGUGUGUUUUCUCCAGAAAAAAAUGUGCAAACCUCUAGGACGUGAUAAUAGGAGAGAGGAAAGAGCUAAAUUAACGAACCUGCCUCAUCAUCACAUGUCAGAAGAGAGAAAAAAAUGGUGGAGGAAAUGAGGAUAGGGAUUUAAAUUUCAGGUUUUCACCUGCCAAUUCCAUUCAUACAGACUAGACACCCCUUUUACAGCUGUGGGUUUGAUAAGGUCUAACACAGGUGUUCUGUUGGGUUUUUUUCCAUGGCAUUAAUAAGGUUUUUCCUAAGGAAAUCAUGCCAGAGACAGGAUUUUUGACAUUGCUUUAUCAGUCCCUGUACAACUUCUGAAUUUUGGGCCAACUUCUAACCAAAUUUGGUUGCUCUUAAAAGUGACGUGAAAAUAGCUGGAGAGAAAGAGGAAAGAACUUUAACUUUUACUGAGGGAAAAACUAUAUUCAUUAGAGAAUCCUCUGAGGAUUUCAAUCUUGGGACAUAAAAUCUAUGAGAAAUAGUAUUUUAUUUUGCUGCUCAAAGAACUAUUUGUCUUAACAUCUUAACAAGAUCUUUUAAAAGUUACAUUUAAAGAGAACUCUCUCUCUAAUUUUGAGGCUAUUAAUCCCUUGUGCUACAAAUGUUUAUGUGCAAGACUAGUCUUGGCAGAUCAUUAGGCUUUAGAGCUAUUCCCCAUUAAGCCCGUGUAUAAAUACUUGCAAUAUCAGGUCUUUGCUGAAACUAAAUAAAUGCUAGCAAGAGCUUUUGACUGUGGCUGGAAUUAAUUGUCUUCAGUGAUGAUGUAUCAUGCCCUCCAAGUUCUUAAUGAAAGGAAAAAUGGCAACGUUCAGCUUGCUCACCAUACAGAGAUCUGAAGUGAUAUCCUUUGUAAGGAGACUUACUGACCCUCUGCUCCAGCACAGUAUAGCUGGGAAAAACAAACUGGGUAAAUUAGAUAAAGAAAUUUGAUUUUAUGAAUUAUGGUGGUAGGAAAAUGCCUGCAAAGUGCAAUUCUGUUUAUAUAGUUAAAAAAUUGAUUAAUGUUCUAUGGCUAUUUACACAAGGGAAUGGAAGCUGAAUCAAAUGUUUAAAAAAACCCCAAAAAACAACAGAGUUUCUCUUGAUUAUUUAGAAAACACGAAAAAAUACCACACUGAUGUCAGACUGGCACUGUUUUUCAAGAUUUAAAAUUAGCAUUGAACAGUCUGUUCUGGGAGCCCAUGGUUUUGGUACAUUUUUUUUCCACCGCAGUCAGCCUGGAUUGACUUGCACUGCUCUCCUUGCUUCAAGUACAGUGGCUGCUCAGUCAGGAAUGCAAAACUACAACGAACAACAGGGAGGAGGAAUUAUUAGGAUUGUUUACAAAUUUUGAUUUGCAUGAGGGAGCAGAGAUGUUGACAGUUAUACUUUGAGAAUCAAACUACCACAGCUGGAUAAACAUGUGCUGGAUAUCUCAAGGCCUUGCUUUCUCCCACUCCCAUGGCAGAGAAUGAACCAAAUGCAAGUCCAACCUAAUCUGAAAAAUAAUAGAACAGCUUUCAACAAAACCUAUUUAUCUGUGAGGUCAAAAAGCCUCAGCCUUGUUACACUCCUAGACAGGCUCUUCUUGACAACAUGGUCACACUAUCUCAGGGGCUGGGAGCUGUAGUGUUACAGACCACCCAGAAUUAUUGCUCCCACAAGGCAAUGAUAAUGGUGCUGUGAUUUCACUGCCUACAGACCUGAACUAACAUUUAAUAGCUUGGGUAGCCAUGGGAAACCUACUGAAUUGUUGUGUUUUAUGGAUCACUUUUCCUGGGUACUUUUUAGGCACUGAUAAAACUAUGUAGCUUGGAAAAGUAAAGAAGAGUUGUAAGAAAAGAAAUGAAUAAACAAAUUGGUACUGGCUUGCAGGGCUUAAGCAAAGGUAGCUGUGAUUAAUGUUAUUAAUGGACAGGUUUCAUCUUCUUGGGCUUUGGUGUGUUUGACACACCAGAAUUCUGUCAAACUCCUUAGAAGUAGAAUACCUGAUGGUUUUUAAGGUAAAAAUAAAACAGUGUAUUCUCUGGAAUGAAAAUGUGAAUGAAUCCCAAAUGCAAAGGGCUCUCAGUUUUCUCAAUCUGUAGACAAACCUUCUGGGGCUUUUGGGUGCACCAGCAAUGUAAGUAUGAGUGCAGGCUACAGGAAAUAAGCGCUUGUCAAAGCUGUGCUAACCUUGUGUUGAGAGAAGUUUGUAGAAAUAAAUUUCUGUAAAUCUAUUCCUAUUGGUGAAUGAUCUUCAAGUUGAUGGACCAUUCCCUAUGUAGGUCUGUUUGAAAGAAAACAGCAAAAACAAAAUAAACACAAACACAAACCCCAAACAAACUUAAGAAUGUUUUUGUAGAGGUUGGGUUCCUCUGAAGUCAAAAGAAAUUCUGCCAUAGGUUUAAAUGGGAGCAGAUUUGACUUAAGAAAGGAGCAGUUUUCAUGGGAAAAUAUUUGUACACAUGGAGAUCUGUUUGGGUAAGAGCUGAUUUAUAUGUUCAAGUGUCUGUUUGCAUAAAGAAGUUUAUUUGGGCCCAGCUGUUCAUGAAUACUGCAAGGUGCAUGUAAGACUCCUUUUCUCUAUUACUAUUUGAAAAAGUCUGUUACCAUCCAGCUGGAGCUGCAAAGUAAUACGAUCUCUUUUGUCUUUUUCUUCUUGCCCUCCAAGCUCCUUCACAUCCCAAAUCCAAUGAGAUACCUAUGAAUUAUGGGAGCUAUCAUGUUGAUUUCCAGAGCUCUCUGGGAUGAAAUUUGUGCAACUCCACACCAAAAAAAUGUGAUGAUACAGAACAUUUCUUUUGCAUUUCCUUGGUGGCACUUCCAGUGUGAUGAUACAUAUUUUUGAGGGAAGAGGCCUAGAUGAGGAUUAAAGGUCUUGGGAUGUUCAAAGCUGCUGUAAAUGCAUAAGGAAGAAGUGAGAAAAAGGAUGAACUCCCAGGUGAGCCCAGGUACAGGCAUGUGUGGACAAGCAUCAGCACCAUCCUUUUGGAAGACAGGCAGCAAUGCCUGAUGCAGGACACCGGUCCCUUUUUUUGCCUCAUCAAAGAAGCUCUGUGGAAAAAAUUUUAGGGAGCCAUCUCCACUGGCACAGAGUUCUGUGACAUGCAUGGGGUAGCUUGGAGGUGGAUGUGAUGGCAGUUUGAUAUUAAGGCGCCUGAUAUGACAGCUGUGGCAGAGCAAGUGGCCCUCUAGGGGGUAACAACGAUGGCCUUCUUCAUCAUUGAGCUGCAAGCCACAGUCCUGGAAGAAAGAGAGACAUCCCAGAUCAGUGAGUGGCUCAGGCAGGCCUCUCACAGCGCUGCUGGUCUAUCCUGCACAACCCCAAGAGCUCCCUCCCCGCCACCAAAGCCAGCAGCCUCCACAGCUCCUGGGAGGUGCACCCUGACCAUCUCAUGCUGCCAUUACUGAAGUCAAACAGCACAGUCUACAGUAGUGCCCAGCCUUUUUUUCACCUCUGUUUCCCAUUCUGGUCUCUUCUUCAUCUAAUAAAUGCUGAUGCAAAUCAGCCAAAAAGCAGGCCAGGGGCUGACCCUGGCAAAUACAACCUGGAAGAGGCUUGAACAGAGAAGGAGCUAAUUCUGCAGCAAUGCAGUGAGCAAGAUGUGGGGGAGCAUAAGUAGAGAAUAAGAGGAGAGGGAAAAAGGGGGGAGAGGUGACAUAUCUUCCUUCUGGAGCAGGGCUACACUGUCUUUAAUUUGGGAUUAGCUGAAUUUAAAGACUUCAAGGCCCAGUGGUCCAUCUUUAGUGGAAAUGCUGGUACCUCUGGGACUGACACAUAACUAGAGAGACAAACAGAAAAGCAGCUAACAGCAAUCCUGCUUGCUGACUGUUAUGUAUACUGCAAUACAGAGCAUCCUGAUUUCCAGCUGCCAUCACUGUAAUUCUGAGGGCAUUUGGAAAUCAUUGAAGUUUGGUGCUCAGAUUUAAUGUUUCAAGUAUGUUAAAUACUUAGAAAUUAUUACUGUGAUCAGUUCUGAGAAACCAGAGAUUCUAAAUAUGUAUCUGUGCAUAUGAUAGAAAGAAAGAAAAAAAAACCUGAUCAAACUGGGCAUUUAGGUUAUUUUAGUACUAAAAACAAAUGCAAAGCUUUUAACUGAACACAAAGUAUAAUUUUUCAGCUUUCACAGCUCAAGUGUAAAUCCUUGAAUUUUACAAUACUGAAAUAAGACUGAAAAUGGGUUUUAAAGUAAGCUUUAAAACUGGAGUGUUAGUUUAGAGAGGUCUUGAUCAAAGUAUCUGCCAAGGCAAUUUUCUGUGUGUUGUUACAUAUUAUAUAAUGAUUUUAUAGCAAUUUAUACAAGAUUUAAAAUAAGAAUUUACCAAUUUCAGAUGCCCUACAGAUGUGCCAAGUGUUUGUAUCUUUUUCCAUCUCCAAAACUGAAUUCCCUUUCUGCAAGGAGAAAGCCUGCCUUGUCAGUGGAUUCCAGUUUCAGAAUGGGGCUCCAGUGAUCUGUAAAAGGGCUUGAACUCUUCCACAGAAGUCAAAUGGUUGUACAUGAAAGAGAUGACACAGAAAAGCAGCAAAGUUUCCAACCUGACCACUGACUGUGUAUGGCCAGCAGGUGAGGUGACAUCAACAGCAGAUGAGAAGCGGCUGCCUAAGUCAUGGCAGCCUUUGCUAAGGUCUGCAUGCACCUCAAAACACUGGCACUCACUUUUGAGCAGCAUUUGGGGACAGCAGUGAACACAGAGAGCCUGAUCUGAGACCAUCAGGCAGUAACCCAUCCCUGCUGACACAUGGCUAACUCCUGAUUUCUGUACGUAAAUGCCCUCUGCCUUUCUGGGCAGAUGUGGAGGCAGCUUGAUUUGCCUCAAAUGGGAAGGGGAAUGGGGAAAUGAAUAAUGAAACAGAACGGAAAAUAAACCCCCAGCGGGACAUUCCAGAAUAAAGUCAAUAGCCUGAGAGAGCAGGGGAGGGAGCUGUCAUCUUACGUGAAGCCUGCACAAAGCAAUAGUUGGGGGGAGGAGGAGGGAAGUUCAGCUCUCCAAAAUAUUGCGGUUUCCUGUGCCAAUUUCUCUUGAAAAAUUAAUAGAAAUGGAUGGAGUAUCAGGUGUCUCUGUUGAAAGGAGAUAGCUGAGGAGAUGGGACCUUCCUUACAUUUAGGUACAUAGCAUUUCAAGAUGCCCUGAAUUUUGUUACUUUCUCUCUUAGUCAGAAGAUUCUUUGUAAAACCUUUGUGCAACAGUGCAUGAAGGCAGCACUGCUGCAUUAUUGCCCCUGGUGCUAACAGUUCCAGGUGUGGUUAGAGCACCAGAUAUGACGUGGAUGAUGUCUGAGAGAAGCUGUGGGCAAGUUAGUACCUGCAUUGCUAGACUUGAACUAACCUAAGAAAUCUCCCUGGGAAAGAAUAUGGAGUCUGUCCUGCUAGUCAUCAUUGACAGCAUCUGGGAGCACAGCAACACUUAGGAUUCAUGAUGCCUCUGGAACCUGAAAGCACCUCCUGUCCCAACCUAGAGCCAUCAGCACCUUGAAAACCCUGACAGACUUCCUUAUGCUUGUGUAUAUCAGGAGUAUUGCAGCAAAUCCCUUUCCAUGCUUUGAUUCCAUCAUUCUUUGAACAUAUCAAUAAACACCCAUGUCUGUCUGCUCUCUGA